UACGUAGGGUGCAAGCGUUGUCCGGAAUUAUUGGGCGUAAAGAGCUCGUAGGCGGUGUGUCACGUCGGCCGUGAAAACCUGCAGCUUAACUGUGGGCGUGCGGUCGAUACGGGCAUCACUGGAGUUCGGCAGGGGAGACUGGAAUUCCUGGUGUAGCGGUGAAAUGCGCAGAUAUCAGGAGGAACACCGGUGGCGAAGGCGGGUCUCUGGGCAACAACUGACGCUGAGGAGCGAAAGCGUGGGGAGCGAACAGG
rnacentral:rRNA from 1 species